UGUAAGUCAGCGAAUAUGUCUCUCUAUUUCACUCAUUCAUUAACAGACUCACACUCUGUCAGAAGUGCCAAGUGGCACAUGCUAUGAGCAAUUCACAGACUUUGCCCUUGUCAUCAGAGUGGACCCAGCAAGUGUCACUUGGUAAAAGCUAUUGCCACACUCCUCUCUCCAGCCCAGCUGACCCCUUCCACUCUGGUUCUUCAGGAAACUGCAUCUCUCUAGAAUCUAGUGUCUAGAUGCUCAGCAAGCCUUCUGCAAGGGCCAGAGCCCAGAUUCCCCGGUUCCUGCCGGUGGGAUCAACCCUGUCUACCCUUUAGAGAACUCAGGCUUCAGAGACCCAUUCACGUAUGGACUGUAAGGUUUUGGGUGGAGCAGGAUGAUGACUCAGCCCUGUAAGCGGGCAGGACCCGACCUGUUGGAGAGAGAUAAGGGCCGCUCCUUGCCUCUCAUGCCGCUUUCCCUCCCUUUCCCCCUUCCCUGACUGUUAUUCCUGGAAAUUGGGUUUUCCUUGUGUUUAUUUUGUGUGGGGUAAAGGGACGGGGGUGGGGUGGGGGCAUAAUCUUGGUCUGGGCAUGUCUAGGAAACUCCGGGGCAGGAAGGAGUGGCUAUGGUGUCCUGGUGUCGGGUGCUCAACACUGUGCAAGCCUCUGGUCACAGCUGCUCCGCGGGCCUCCGAACUGUACGCUCUUACCAGGACCUCCGGCUCGCAUCGCUUAGAACGAGAAGAUUGUGUGCUGCACAAAAGAGACCCAGGCUGGGCUGUCGGAGUCAAGGGUCAAGUGCCUCACCUCACAUAGUGCUGUCUCCUCCCAAGGAAGGGGGCUUCCUCUUCACUUAAAGGCGCUGCCCGCUCACCAAGCCACACACCCCUGCCGGACUGCAGUCCGCAGAUGGAAACUAUGCGAGGAAGAGAAAAAGUUAAAUCCAGGCGAUCCUGAAGGUGAGCUGGCCCCCGGGGAACCUGGAAAUUCCCUUACUAGCCCAGCCCUCCCCAGGCAGAGGCUUUUAAUCCCAGCUGAAGAUCAGUCCCCGGAGCAGGGCUGAGAAGCUCUACAAGGAACCCCUGGGCCAGGGUCUCUGCCCCUCCUCGGUGCUCCGACUGGCUUGGGGUGGCCUGAAAGUCCAGCUAGGCCUUCCACCUGCACCCUGAGGCUGGCAGGUAAGUGUCCUGAGGGCGCUCUUUACACAGCAAGCCCCACCCUUGGGAGAGGCUGCCUGUUGCUAGGUGGAGCAGUUUGCUGGGGCAAUUAAACGCGGGGUGAAGGCAGCCCCAACCAGGCUCAACAGCAGAGCCAAGAAGCUGAACUCUGAUUCGCAGCCCUCGCGCCAGCUCUGUGUUCCCUUCAACCCGGUUGCUCCAACUAGAAAUUCCCAGGACGAGUCUGAUGCUUCCAGGGCUGGUUGCUGCUGAGCUAGUCGGCAGACGGCUGGAAUCCUCCAGGGCUUGAUAAUUGAGACAACCCACACGCCCCUGCAGAAAAGCAAAUUAGGAGUUGCAGACGCAAAUUUUAAGGAGGCGCAUGCCUCGCAAUCAUGCAGGGGCAGGAUCUGGCCCUGAGAGUGUGUGCCUCCUUAAAUGUUGCAACCAAUCAACCUUGCUUGGCCAGCCUCCGCAGUCCCAGCCUUGACUAGUAGUGGAAUGUCGUAAGCCAAAAGUCGGUGCUUUUGAAUUCCUGCAGGAUGCCUGCCCACUCUGUUCUUAAACUUGAGGAUCCUCUAGUGAAGAUCAAGAUGUAGACCUCUCUGCAGUGGGAAUUCGCUCAGCCCAUCACCUUGGGCUAUCUGGCCUGAUAUAGGCAGUGCUUCUUAUCUGCCUACAUGACCCCUUAAAAGGGAGAAGAAAGGGGUUUGAGCUCUCUUGGGUGGUGAAGACUGAAUCAGGUGGCAUAAAGCAGCGUGUGAUUGGUCCCCAGCUUUCCAACGACUCUGCAACUGGAUUUACCUUAUCCUGUAUCACCGAGGGACCGUGCAAGACAGAAACUUUCGUCUACACCUCUCAGUCAGCUUCUUCUCCAGCACCAUGUCUGCCUGCAUGCUGCCCUGCUUCUCUCCGUGAUGAUAAUGGACCAAACUC